UACGUAGGUGGCAAGCGUUAUCCGGAAUUAUUGGGCGUAAAGCGCGCGUAGGCGGUUUCUUAAGUCUGAUGUGAAAGCCCACGGCUCAACCGUGGAGGGUCAUUGGAAACUGGGAAACUUGAGUGCAGAAGUGGAAAGUGGAAUUCCAUGUGUAGCGGUGAAAUGCGCAGAGAUAUGGAGGAACACCAGUGGCGAAGGCGGCUCUCUGGUCUGUAACUGACGCUGAUGUGCGAAAGCGUGGGGAUCAAACAGG
rnacentral:rRNA from 1 species